rnacentral:rRNA from 1 species
UACAGAGGUGCCGAGCGUUAGGCGGAAUCACUGGGCUUAAAGCGUGUGUAGGCGGACGUCUAAGUACCUUGUGAAAUCCCACGGCUCACCCGUGGAACUGCUGGGUAUACUGGGCGUCUUGAGCCACCUAGGGGCCAGCGGAACAAAUGGUGGAGCGGUGAAAUGCGUAGAUAAUCAUUUGGAACGCCAACGGUGAAAACAGCUGGCUGGGGGUGUGACUGACGCUGGAGACACGAAAGCCAGGGGAGCGAACGGG